CCUACGGGAGGCAGCAGUGAGGAAUAUUGGUCAAUGGACGAGAGUCUGAACCAGCCAAGUAGCGUGAAGGAUGACUGCCCUAUGGGUUGUAAACUUCUUUUAUAAAGGAAUAAAACGAGGCACGUGUGCCUUUUUGCAUGUACUUUAUGAAUAAGGAUCGGCUAACUCCGUUCCAGCAGCCGCGGUAAUACGGAGAAUCCGAGCGUUAUCCGGAUUUAUUGGGUUUAAAGGGAGCGUAGAUGGGUUGUUAAGUCAGUUGUGAAAGUUUGCGGCUCAACCGUAAAAUUGCAAUUGAUACUGGCAGUCUUGAGUACAGUAGAGGUAGGCGGAAUUCGUGGUGUAGCGGUGAAAUGCUUAGAUAUCACGAAGAACACCGAUUGCGAAGGCAGCUUACUAAACUGUGACUGACAUUGAUGCUCGAAAGUGUGGGGAUCAAACAGGAUUAGAUACCCCUGUAGUC
rnacentral:rRNA from 1 species